rnacentral:rRNA from 1 species
GACGUAGGAGACGAGCGUUGUCCGGAUUUACUGGGCGUAAAGCGCGCGCAGGCGGCCCCGCAGGUCGGUUGUGAAAGCCCCCGGCUCAACCGGGCGGAGGCGAGCGAAACCGCGGGGCUGGAGGCUGGCAGAGGGUGGUGGAAUUCCCGGUGUAGUGGUGAAAUGCGUAGAGAUCGGGAGGAACACCGGUGGCGAAGGCGGAUCUCUGGGCCUUACCUGACGCUGAGGCGCGAAAGCUAGGGGAGCAAACAGG